UACGUAGGGUGCAAGCGUUGUCCGGAAUUAUUGGGCGUAAAGAGCGUGUAGGCGGCCCGGUAAGUCCGCUGUAAAAGUCAAAGGCUCAACCUUUGAAUGUCAGUGGAUACUGCCGGGCUAGAGUCCGGAAGAGGCGAGUGGAACUCCUGGUGUAGCGGUGGAAUGCGCAGAUAUCAGGAAGAACACCAACGGCGAAGGCAGCUCGCUGGGACGGUACUGACGCUGAGACGCGAAAGCGUGGGGAGCGAACAGG
rnacentral:rRNA from 1 species